rnacentral:rRNA from 1 species
AAUGGGCGCAAGCCUGAUCCAGCCAUGCCGCGUGAGUGAUGAAGGCCUUAGGGUCGUAAAGCUCUUUCGCUGGGGAUGACAAUGACAGUACCCAGUAAAGAAACCCCGGCUAACUCCGUGCCAGCAGCCGCGGUAAUACGGAGGGGGUUAGCGUUGUUCGGAAUUAUUGGGCGUAAAGCGCGCGUAGGCGGAUUGGAAAGUUGGGGGUGAAAUCCCGGGGCUCAACCUCGGAACUGCCUCCAAAACUAUCAGUCUAGAGUUCGAGAGAGGUGAGUGGAAUUCCGAGUGUAGAGGUGAAAUUCGUAGAUAUUCGGAGGAACACCAGUGGCGAAGGCGGCUCACUGGCUCGAUACUGACGCUGAGGUGCGAAAGUGUGGGGAGCAAACAGGAUU